UUGGAUGUUGCCUGACUGGCUGUGCUUUUCCAGCACCACACUCUUCGACUCUGAUCUCCAGCAUCUGCAGUCCUCCAUUUCUCCUAUGUAAGAUGGAAGUUUAUUUUCAGCUCUUAAAGCUCAACAGAAACUCAAACACUGCAGAGUUUCACAUUUGGGGCCAGUUGGUGUGUACAGUUUAUUGGGGCCAAGAACAUUGCAAAGUUCUCUUGCCGUGCUCUUGUGUUGCAAAAACAGUUGGGUGUAUGGCACACUGGCAACAGUACAUUUGUCAAUCCUGCCCAUGUUGUUCCCUGCUGCAUAGGUUUCCUUCUCCCUGAGUCCUUAUGUGUUCAAACCCAGCUAACAUGUCACUGUCUCCUUCCUCUGUCAUCUCUUGGAGCCUUGAAACUGUGGGUCAAUCAUCAUCUCCCCCUGCCCACCCAUCUCCCUUUUCUGGAACUGGUUCUGUUAAACACUAUCUGUCUCACCCACAUAGGCUGGCCUACUCUUGUAAAGUUCAUGUUCAAGAGAAAUUGAUUCAUCUUAAUAGCACUGACCAAAAACUGUCCUUACCUUUAUUCAGAUUAGUGGAUAAUUGUCUGAGUGAAUUUCUUUAUAUAUUUUGAGGGGACUUGAGGAACUAAUAAAAAACAAAAAGAAGGAUUCACUUGAUUCCAAAUGAAUUAUGCAGUCUGUAGUUGAAUGAAGUAAAUGUGGCUGUGUAUCAUGUGUUCAGUUAUCAGUUAUUGUGUCCAGAUUUGGAUAAAAUCCAAACCUAAUUAUCAUUUUUUGCCUCUGGCUUUUUAAAAAUUGUUCCCUUGUGGUGAACAAUUGUUCAACAAUGGGAUACUGACGUGGGCAAACUUCCACUUUGUAUAUUUAUAUUGCGAUUGGUAAUUAGCUUAAAUAUCAUCAAUCAGACAUUAAAAUGCCUUGUGUGAAAGUGUGAUUUGUAGCAUUUUGUAUCUGGUUUUAAGAGUUUAACUCUUGGAGGUUUAUACAGUCUCUUGCAGCUUAAGAUUCAGUUGUUUUCCUUUUCUCCGCUAAGCUGGAAGAAGUAUCUUCAUUCUGCUGGUUUAUAAGUGAAUGGUUUAGUAGAACCCAGCAUCUACGCCAGACUCGGUCUGUGGUAUGCCAGUAACUGGAAUUGGACUGUUGUAGUCCACUUAUUACACCCUUGCUAAUGUUCUGAAAGAGCAAUCCACUUCCUUAAAUAUUUAUGUUGCAAAUCUUUUAUCUAUUUUCACUUUUUUCAUCUUAGAAUCCAAAAAAUAGGAUUUUUCUUUUUUUUUCCAUCGGUGUGGCACAAAUGUUGCUUACGUUUAGCCCAGUGUUGUUCCUUGAGUUCUGGCUCAAGCAGUUUGUGUUGGCAGGUUAUUUGACCAUCUCCUGACAUUUGGAUUGCACAUGGGAGACCAACCUUGAAUCUAGGAAGGGAAAGAGCACAAGUGGUGGUGGCAUCAGAGAUCUCAUACCUCACUUCAGAGAUUUAAUAUGUAAGCUGUUUCAUGACACCAAACAACAGGACUUUGGAAUGGCAUACUAUAUUAUUAGGGUCAACUUUUUCUGUGGUAUCAAGAGCACAAGUCAUUUAUCUUGAUGCUGGUUGGACCAUGCCACUACUUUCUGGCCUUUGUCUUUUGAUGUCUUUUCAUGCAAUGUUUGUACAGAGCUGGAGAGUCUGUUGCAGUAAUGAGGGUAUUAAUAGUAUCAGUGUACAGUGAACAUUACACUGUGUUUGGAUCAUGGUACAACUGCAAACAGUUUUAAUUGGCUAAUCCAACAAUAUUAUGUAUUUGAGUGACAGAGGUUUACUGAGUUUGCAGUUCCCCUCUUUUUAGUUCACCGCUCCCAACCUCCAUAUGUCUACCUCCUUAUGAAGCCAAAAUCCAAACUAAAUAAAUGAUCAUGCAAUGAGGUGGGACGGUCCUUUUUUUCUUUUUUGGUGUGGAAUGCACUGUAGAAGUCUCUUGGGACUGGCUACAACAUGACCUUUCGUUUCUGCUUCCGAUCUCACCAGAAGUAAAGGGGCUGACAGCGUUUACUGUCCAAUGGAGAGCUGGAGCUUCGUUAUCUUAUUGUACCCAUCCUUGAUAGGGUCAAAUCCAGGGGAGCUGCUUGAUAUUGUAGUAUACAAUAAUGCGUUGGACAUAAUGUAUAUUUCUGCAUUUUUCUUUCCUCGACCCCCCCCCACCCUGUCUUUCUCUGUAGAGAAGAGUUUCCAAACUGCACCCAGCUUGGUGAGCCCUGUCAAAGGGUGGUCUGAAGUUAGCUCUUGUGAUUUGUUUGUCUUCUGUAUUCUCCUUGGUGCAGGAUUUCUUUUGGAAUAAUGAGACACUGUGUCACUGAGAUUCUGGUUGGAUUGAUGGUGAAGGAGCCUGCCAACACUUAGUAUCUAGACUUGGGUGUGAGGGGGUGUCUCAGGUGAUUGAUCAGCACCACCUUUUUAGACAAGGCUUAGAAUGAGUAAAGGGACCGUUUUGAAAUGCCUUGGAUUGUUCUAGCAGUUUUAUCACCAUAGUGUGAACAAUGUCUCCAACAACAUGAGCUGGGUGUUGUUUAAGGCAGUCCAUUCCAGCAUUCUUCACAAUUGAACACUGAUCAACAAGGAGGCUUGUCUAUUUAACAAAACUCUGGGAGGGAGAGGCCAAUUUGGAUGAUCGCAGAUUGGCUUAGCAUUGUUUCUGUAAAUGGAUUCUCCAUCUCUAAAGAGGUGGUCUAUAAUUGUAAAGUUGUACAUAGGAAUGAGUGUAUAUUUACCCAGGUUUGAGCUGUUGCCUUAGUUUCUAGUGAUUAUAUUUAAAUGUUUGUUUCCUUUUUUUAAAUAAACAUGGAAAGGAAUGCUAGGGUCUUAAACGUGUAAAAGUUGUGUGUUUUUUUUAAAUGCAAAAGUAAGUGUGGCACUUGAUUUAGUAUUGAAUGAAAUUUAAAAAAUAAAAGAUUGAUUCUCCAGG